rnacentral:rRNA from 1 species
GCGGCGUGCCUAAUACAUGCAAGUCGAGCGAACAGAGAAGGAGCUUGCUCCUUUGACGUUAGCGGCGGACGGGUGAGUAACACGUGGGCAACCUACCCUAUAGAUUGGGA